CUGGGACUAUUUUAAUAUUUUAAGCCACUGAAGGUCAUAUCAAGAAAUGACUUGAAGUUCUACGCCAGUCCUUCGGUAAUGGCUGCCUGUUGAUUCUGCUGAAAUGGAUUUCUGACCACAUCCGGGCUACGUGGGUGCUGCGAUCUAUUGGUACUGUCUGCCACAGGCAUAGCCUGAAGAACAGCUGGACCCUCUGCUGAGCCCACUCGCUGCAGCUGGGCCGUGCGUCCUUCCUUGAAGGGAGAGCCGGGGGCGCAGAUCUGUGCCCAUCACCGUCUGCCUGUUGACACACUUUAAAACCAAUGGUCUCCAGAAUGACGUAAGUAAAAAUGAUCCACUGGAAGCAGGAAAAAAACACCAAGAACUCACAGUAAUCCUUCACGUCAUCUUUUUUUGAUUAUGUGAAAAUGCACAUUAACAUAAAAUUUACCAUCUUACCAUUUUUAAAUGUAUAGUUCAGUAGUGUUAUGUAUAUUCAUGCUGUGGUGCGACCAGUCUCCAAAACUUUUUCAUCCUAGAAAACUGAAACUGUACCUUUUAAACAACAAUUCCCCCCUUUCCUCUUCCCCCCAGCUCUUGGCAACCACCCAUUUACUUUCUGUUUCUAUGAAUUUGGUACCUCAUAUAAGUAGAAUCAUAUGGUAUUUGUCUUUUUGUGACUGGCUUAUUUCAUUUAACAUAUUGUCUCCCAGGUUCAUGUAUGCUGUAGCUCUUAAAGGCUGGAUGAUAUUCCAUUGUGUGUGUACCACAUUUUGUUUAUCCAUUCAUCCAUUGAUGGACACUUGGGUGCUUUUGCCUCUUGGCUAUGGUGAAUAAUGCUGCUAUGAAUAUGGGUGUAGAAAUAUCUGAGUCUCUGUUUUCAAUUCUUUUGAAUAUAUGCCCAGAAGUGGAGUUGCUCUAUCAUAUGAUAAUGCUAUUUUUAAUUUUUUGAGGAACCUCCGUACUGUUCUCCAUACCAGCUGCUCUAUUUUAUUCCCACCAACAGUGCCCAAAGGUUCCAAUUUCUCCACAUCCUCGCCAACGCUGGUUAUUUUCUAGUUUUUUGAUAGUAGCAUCCUGGUGGGUAUGAGGUGGUAUCUCAUUGUGGUUACUUCAUCUAUUUAAUUUUUGUCUGUGAUUUAUAAUGCAAAAGCUCUAAUACUACAGUGGCAGACUAUGAAUUCACUCACUCAACAAGGAGGUCAGAACAGGAAGAGCGGCCAAAGCACAUACAGCCUCGCAGCCCUGGGAAUUUCAGCAUCUCUGAGCCAACAAGGAAACUGUUAGAUGAUAAGUAUGUCAACAUAUAAUGGGGUGGUGAUUAAAUAUUUUAUCAAUAAAGUUAUAAGAUCAAAAAUCUUCCAGACAACUGUUUUAAGAGGAGUACUUUGGGGUUCCAGAAAACAGAGUCUAGAAUCCUUAGACAGCAUCUGUUUCCUAGUUCUCAGCCAAAACACAUGUAAAAUUGCUAUCAUUUGGCUUGUACAAAACACGUACACCCACAUACACACACACACACAUUAAAACUUAAUUAAAAUGUGAAGACUCAUUUUUUGGCUGAGAAGUGAAAAUUGAAUAAAAAACAAUAAAAUUAAAUAAAACACAAAGAUAUUUAACUGAACAUUUAGGAAUAAGACUAAAGAGAACCUAAAGAAGUAUAAACUACU
rnacentral:lncRNA from 1 species